GAUGAACGCUGACAGAAUGCUUAACGCAUGCAAGUCUUUGGCGAAGCUGUGCUCGCACAGCCUAGCCAAGGCGGACGGGUGAGUAACGCGUAAGGAACUUGCCCUGCAGUCAGGGAUAACAGACGGAAACGACUGAUAAGACCUGGUAAAGUCAGGCGGACUCAUGUCCAGCCUGAUGAAAAGAGAUGCUGCAGGAGAGCCUUGCGUCCUAUUAGCUUGUUGGUGGGGUAACGGCCCACCAAGGCGAUGAUAGGUAGCCGGCCUGAGAGGGUGGACGGCCACAAGGGGACUGAGAUACGGCCCUUACUCCUACGGGAGGCAGCAGUGGGGAAUAUUGGACAAUGGGGGCAACCCUGAUCCAGCAAUUCUGUGUGCACGAUGAAGGUUUUCGGAUUGUAAAGUGCUUUCAGCAGGGAAGAAAAGAAUGACGGUACCUGCAGAAGAAGCGACGGCUAAAUACGU
rnacentral:rRNA from 1 species